UGGCCGCGGUAUUUUGACCGUGCGAAGGUAGCAUAAUAAUUAGGCUAUUAAUUGUAGUCUUGUAUGAAUGGUUCGACGAAGGGAAGCUUUCUUAUUUAUAAGGUUGAAUUUUAAUAAUUAGUGAAAAUGCUAAUAUUUAAUAUAAAGACGAGAAGACCCUAUUGAGUUUUAUAUAUUAUUAUUUUUGAAGUAGUAAAGUAAAAUAAGAUUAUAUUUGGUUGGGGCGAUUUUGGUAAAAAAACAUUGAAUUAUGAUUAAAGUUUGAGGAUCCGUUAAUAGCGAUUAGUAGAUUAAAUUACCAUAGGGAUAACAGCAUAAUUUUAUUGUAGAGUUCUUAUCGAAUUUAAAGUUUGUGACCUCGAUGUUGGAUUAAGAUGACUAUUAGGUGCAGGUGCUUAAUUAGUUAGACUGUUCGUCUAUUAAAAUCUUACA
rnacentral:rRNA from 1 species